GAUGACCAAGGGCAUAUGCACUCAGAAUAAAUAAAAUACAAAAUAGCCAACCGUUGUGACGCUUUCAUUACAUAAUUAAGUACAAAGGACUAUUAUCCUUGCAAUUAAGUAGAAAUGACUAUUAUCCUUGCUUGUCUUUCAACUAAUAAUCUAAAGUGAACCACAAAAUACUACUACACAUUGAGAAAGACAACUGCAAUAUUUAUUAUUCAGCUGAACAACUUGUAAUUUACAUCACGAUCGGAGGCCCUUAUCUCAUACAGACUUUAGCCAUGAUUUGCAUAUGCCAAAGCUUCAAAUUCAAUAUCCAGUUCCCGGUGUUAGGACAGAGCCAAGGGGCAGAGAAUUCUAUCAUCAUGGCAUCCAAUAGCUACACUGCUUCAAAGGGUAACCCAAAGAACAUCAAAGGCGUUAAAGGUAGAAUCUAGUACAAUACUAUUGUCUAUUCAACUUGUACCACUAAUCACAUAGUGAAUGCAAAACACAAAAUUAGCCAUAAUAGAGAUGCAAUGACAAAGUUACACUUUUGUGCACAACAUACAAUAUUUUCAACCAAUAAAGAUUGUCCAAUACAUGCAACUAUUUUAAGACCGUAAAUGUUAUUGUCUUUUAAAUCAGGUAAUGCAUCUAAGUGAAGGCAAUAAAUAUAAGAUACAAAUUAGCAUAACAUUGCAUAGUUGGCAUAAGGGUUGUACCAGAAGACAGGUAAUACGAUGCAACAUUAUGUACUCAUCACGAUGUUUAAUACUGGCAAAGACAUGAAUCUAUGCUUCCAAAACAGGAAUAUCCCAUAUAUAAAAUUAAGAGGUGUUCACAAGUAAGAUGCAACUUUAUCACUAAAUUAUCUACAUUACAGAUAAUAAAUACAAGUCAUUAGGAGAUGUAUAAACAUCUAAAGACUUGAAUGGAUUCAAGCUAAUGCGACAUCAAACUUGAUCAAAACUAACUUAAUGCACAGCUGAAUGCAAAAGGAACAAGAUAUUCUGAUAUUGCAGCAGUAUAUGAAUAAUAAUAUAUCCUCUUCGACUAGAUCAAAUUAACAUAAAGCAGCUAAAAAAGUAAAUACUUGAAUACAAGAUCAAGAAAAUACAUGAACUAGAGCAAAUAGCACAUACAAAUUAAAACUUUUUUUGCGGGCUUUUGUUUAAAUGCUAAUACUCAUAAAGCAAAUCAAGAGAAUGCAUUAACUAGAGCAAAUAACAUAUAGAAAGAGAUUAAUAAAUUUUUUUUGGGGAAGUCCGCACAACCUUCAUUGCCAAUUUAAUGAAAGGCUCAGAUAGCGGACAAUCUUCAUCGCAGUAAAGCAGGAAAAAUGGGUUCUGAAAAAUGGGUUGGACCGGCGAGAAAGAGAUAUUAUGGGCCGCCAUAAACCUUACAAGAAAUAGGGCAGUAGCUCUAUCCCUAACUCCACCGGUUCCCGUUCUCCGUCGCCGCCUUCGCCGCCACCCACUACUCAGAUAAGAUAAAAAAGAAACGGGGAGAGAGAAAUAAAAGACAAAGCGCUAAAUUAUUUUAUGUUUUGACGUUAGGGCAAGCUGUUAAA
rnacentral:lncRNA from 1 species